GGGAGUCAACGGUGCAGUACCCUGACACAGACACAACUAGACCUGGAGGUCUGGAGAGGCAGAGAGGAGGGGAGUCAACGGUGCAGUACCCUGACACAGACACAACUAGACCUGGAGGUCUGGAGAGGCAGAGAGGAGGGGAGUCAACGGUGCAGUACCCUGACACAGACACAACUAGACCUGGAGGUCUGGAGAGGCAGAGAGGAGGGGAGUCAACGGUGCAGUACCCUGACACAGACACAA